AUACGCGUUUCCCAUAUAUAUACGUAAAUACGUAUGUAUGUAUAUAUAUAUAAUAUAUAUAUAUAUAUAUAUGUGCGUGUAUGUACAGAUGUACACGCAUAAAUAUAAUGUAUGUAUGGAUACGCGUGUUUAUUGACUGGCCCUCUCUCUCCCUCUCUCUUUUUCUUUUCUUCUUUCUCUUUAUACUUUUUGCCUACUAUAUUCAUCUCUGUUCCUCUCUUGCUACUAGAUGCUUAUAUUAUAUCUAUAUGGAUGUAUGUAUAUAUGAAUGUAUUCAUUUGUGUAUAUAAAUAUCUACAUCGUGAAUUUGGUAAACGAAUGUAUAGACAUAUGUGCAUGUCUCUCUCUCUCUCUCUCUCUCUCUCUCUCUCUCUCUCUCUCUCUCUCUCUCUCUCUCUCUCUCUUUCUAUAUGUAUAUAAUGACUGUAUAUAAAUGACGAAAAAGAUUAAUCAAUCAAUCAACAUUCUCAAGAUGACUCGUAAAGUGAUAUAUGUAAUAAAUUUUUUCUCGAUUUAUAUCUGAACGACAGGUUGUGAAUGGAAAAAUGCGCUUUGUACGAUAUCUUUUUUUCCUACUCGAAUAAUUUACAAAUGAGUAGUCGGAAGGAAAAAAAAAAAAAAAAAAAAAAAAAAAAGAAAAAAAAGAGUGAAAAGAAAAAGAAGUGCGCUUAACUCGACAAAAAAAGCCCCGAAAAAAUAGUUAAAAGGAUGAGACACGAAUCGCGAUUGAUAGUCGCCGUUGACUAAAAUCUCUCCUCUUCUUCCUUCUCAUUUUAGUUUUGCCUGUGGGUGGGUUAUCUUUAUUCGCGAAACGUGCGUACGCUAGUCACGUAAAAUGUUCUCUUCGUCUCUUUCUCUCUAGUAAAGCAAAGAGGCAACAAAAGGUGUGCGCGUGCGCGCUUGUUGGUUGCCUGGACGACUGCCGUUGCCGUUGCCGUUGCCGUUGCCGUUGCUGCUUCGGAUGCCACCGCCUGAAUAGAAAUUAAACGGAACAAACCGCGCCUAGAUGCAUUCGUUGUGCAACAAACGCGUUUAAGAGACGCGUCUCUUGUGGUUCGCAAGCAAGAGUCACGAAUAACUAAGUGAGGCUGGGGAUAAGGGAAGGGAAGGGGGGAAAGGAGGAACGUGGUACCAUCAAGUAUGAGGAUAGAUCCAUUAGAUUAAUUGACUUCGGGACCCAACGCGCAUGAUACGUGGAUAGACGAAGCGGAGGGAUGAGAUGAGUUUUGUUCUUUGUAUCAUUUCGGGAGAAAAAGUUUGCAACGCGAGAAGCCGAUCAUCGAUCGUGGAUUUGUUGUUGAAAGGUUUCGGAAGUGGAAAGUAUGUAUGUACGUAUAUAUGUAUGCAUGUAUGUACGUACGUACGCCGCGCGCGCGCAUGUAUAUUGCACUUUGCAAUCUACGUAGAGAACUUUCUCGCGAAGAGAACGGAUGCGUUUUCAAUGAUGAAAGUAACGAUGCAUAACGAAAAGAGAAAUUUUAUGUAUAUGCACAUAAAUAAGAUGAAAUGUAUUUAUACAUGUGCUCGGAUAUAUAUAUAUAUCAAAGUUUGAUCGGAAUCAUCGAUCUAUCUUCAAAUGUAGUUUAAAUUGCUUUUACUCGACAUUUAAUUCGAAGAAUUUACUAACAAAGUAAGAAAAUAAGUAUUUGUAAGAAAUAUUUUCGAGAAAAUUCGAAAAGAAGACGAAAAAGGAAAAGAAAAGAGAGAGAGAAAAAAAAGAUCGUUCAUCUCUUUCCUAAAAAUUUGUAUGUUUGACCUUGACACCGAUUACGCGCCGACGAUGUAGAUAUAUCGCGCAAUUUUAUUCACGAUCUUUACUAAUUGUAAUGAAACACAUAUGUCGAUUUGCUAUCUCACUAAAAAAAUAAACUUACAUAAUAAUGUAAACAUAUGUAUAUGUAUCGUAGGUACAUAUUUAUGUCUAACGUGAUUGUACGUAUGUGUGGUUGUUUGUAUUUGUGGUUGUGGAUAAAAAAAAAAAAAAAAAAAAAAAAAAAAGUAGGUAAUGAAGUUACUGACGCCGAAAACCGAAUUUAAAGUCGUCGAUUAAUCCUCCUUAUCUUUCGUUCGAAGUAUUUAACUAUUUUUAAGCAAGAUUCGAAACGAGCUUUGAAGAUAGGAGAAAUAUAAUGUACGAUAGGACCACACCCUCGUCAAAAUUUAUAUAUCCUUUACACAAUCAUUUAGCUCAUUUAUCCAUUUGGAUUCAUCAACAGUUCGAAAACAGUUUAAGUAGUCGGGAUAAAAAGAAAGAUAGAAAAAAAGAAAAAAAAAAAAAAAAUGUUUCGCUUUACGAGGAAAAAAAAGAAAAAAAAAAAGGUCUCUCGAUUAGAUCUGCGUUUUUAUUCUACCGUGAAUGGAUUUGUAAGAAGCUAAUUGUACGAUUGACUCACGUGAAUAAUCUCUAUCGAGAACAUUCGCUAAUUUCAUUCUGAUUCCGGAUCUUGCAGAUGAGUAAGACGAGCGAUCGUAGAAACGCGAAUGAGUCAGUCGGUCAUCCACGAAAAAAGAAAAAGAAAUAAUACAAACCAAAAGAAAAACAAAAAGAAAAACAAAAUGAGAUAUAUACAAAGGGACUAAUAAUAACAUUAUGUAGAUAGCAUUUGGACGUCACAUCAUAAAAAAAAAAAAAAAAAGAAAAAAGAAGAGAGAGAAAAAAAGAA